rnacentral:sRNA from 1 species
UUUCUACUCCAAAUCUUUCGUCAAACACAGUUUCGAGAUUGUUGCUAUGGCUUGUAUUAAUCUUGCAUCAAAAAUCGAAGAAGCACCUAGAAGAAUAAGAGAUGUGAUUAAUGUAUUCCACCACCUCCGCCAGUUAAGAGGAAAAAGGACUCCAAGCCCCCUGAUCCUUGAUCAGAACUACAUUAACACCAAAAAUCAAGUUAUCAAAGCAGAGAGGAGGGUGCUAAAGGAGUUGGGAUUUUGUGUUCAUGUCAAGCAUCCUCAUAAGGUGAGUUGUAGAGUACAGAAAUUGGGUUCGUAAGUAUUAGGACUUUUCUAAAAAUUUUAUUUUAUAUGAAUUUAUGUUUCUAUCUGAGUGUUAACCUUGGUUUUAAAAAGCAUUCUUUUAAAGGUUCAGGCUUCAUCGAACAACAUUCUUUUGGAUGUUGAGAUUUAUCAGUAAAAUGACAGUCAAAAAUGUAGGUUCAAAUCUUAAAUCUUAAUUGUGUGCUCAUAGAGAAGUUAUUUUUGUUUCUGUGGUUAAAGUCCCAGUUUUUCCACCUAGAAAACAGAGAUGUAAAGUUC